UGAAAAUUUCCACGGGCGAGAUCUUUCUACGCGAGAAUGGUUUCUGGAAAUAGGUGGGUAUUAUUCCGUCGGUGAAAUUAAUUCUGGAGGGGCUAGUUUGCAACGGACACAACAGGCAUGCUAUGCGUCAGAGGACUGGAAACAGAUGUUCUCGCGAAAGAUGACAGGGUUAAGUAGAUAAAAGGAGCAGCUGCUGGUUCCAACGACCGACGACGAUUCAUCGCGUUUUCCAUGCAGUGCACAAUGCUCUGCCAUCGCGCCCUUGUCGUUCUCUUUGCUGCUGUCAACGUGCCAAUCGGUAAGUG